ACCACUUCUCUUUCAAAGAUGGACUAGGGAAAGACAUUAAGUUUGAUCCAGCAUCGCGGAGGAUCUCUCUCUCUCUCCUCUCUCCUCUCUCUCCCCCCUCUCUCUCACCCCCUCUCUCUCUUUUUUUUCCCCCCUUUCCCUCGCUUAAAUCUCCUCGCGUCCAGCUAAGCAUGAACUCCAGAGACAGACCCCACCGGAGAGGACUGAGCCUGCACAAUGGAAGAAGAUCAUGUACAGGAGUGAGAGUGCCACUGAAGGGAAGAGCUACUGGAGGUGUGACAAACUCAUCUCUAUUUCAAGGAAAUGGUGAAAUAAGAGCUCUGAGACAACUGAGAGACUUUAAGAGAUUGAGACUACAAGAAAACAAGGACCAACUAAGCAAGGACUAGGAGUCCAACCAGCUUCCUCCAAGAAGCUCCAGAGAGCUGCAUCCAGUGCCUCCCACCAAGAGGACUGGAACAUGGCCACUGCUUUCAUGGAUAUGGACAUCAGGCCUUUCAUGUCAGCGGCUGCUUUGCUGGAUCUCAGUGGAUUAUGGUGCUGACCGGGGAUGAGAUCUCCUGUCACUACCUUGAGCUCUGCACCUGUCUGAAGUGAUUUUUCCUGGCAUCUGCCUGUGUGUUGGGUCAAACCCACCUGCAAACUUAAAGCAGAAAAAUGUAGCUAAUAAUCAAACAAAUCCUUUCAAAGAGACUGGAGGGCAGGAAGAAGGAAUAAUUGCAAUACAAGUAACAGAAAAGGGAAGAAAGGUUUGGCUGAGAUCUAAAAAGGACUUGUGAGGUGAGUAUUUGCUGUGCCUGGUAGUUCAAUAUCUGGCUGCCUGCAUGGGUUUAUUACUCUGAGAUAAGUACUGAGGAUCUUCACAGAGGGUCGGGCCUUAGUUGCUCAGAAAAAUUAAAGCAGUUAAAAGUAUUUGCUCAGCCCCUGAGAAUAAAGUCCUAAAAACCACCAGUUGGAGAACUACCCAACCUAAAGUAGUAAAGGGUCAGUAUUUCUAACUUGUAAAGAGAACAAAUUCUAUCAGAGCAUUUCUCACUCUUUUCUUCAUCUACAAACAUACUGGACACCCUUAUAUUGAUUUGAAUGUGGCUGUGGAGAACAUUAGACUGGAUUUAACCAAAACUGUUCCCAAAUUGCAGGUAAAAAGAAAUGCAGAAAGAAAUGUUGAUCUGUCUCCUCCAUUUGUUGUUCCUUAAAUGAGGCAUGAGGCUGCUUUUAAUGAGUAACCUGAGAGACAAAAGGAGGGCUCUUAGCUUAGGUGGGAAAUUCCCAGGAAUUCAGGAGCAAAAUCCUGCUAUUCAUUGAGGUGAAACUAUUUUCUGAAGUUUUACCCCAAGACAGAGCAACUCAUACAUUAAAAGUCUGUAUUGCUUAAGGAAUCAAAUCACUUGCUACAGCUCCUGUAGUAAUUUCCCAAAACAAAACAUAUUUUUCUUUUCCAGUAAAAAAAUUUAAGAUACUCAACACAUAUGCCAUGCUAAGGGAAUUCUUGUUUGCAACAACAGUAAGAACAUAGUGAGAGCCAAAAUACUCCAUGUGGUAACAUACAGAAAAAGAAAACCUCUGUUCCUCAGAUAUUUCAAUCUUUUGGACAGAAAAAUAGCUAACACAAAUCAUUAUGCUUUAACUCAGUGAUAAUCUUCUCAGAGACCUCCAAAACUCCAUGUUUCAGGAAUCCAUCUAUGCACUACACCAGCUUUUGCUGUUUCCUUUAUCCAAGUCUUUCAGAGUGAUUGCUAUUUAUCUUAAUUCCUACACGUCUUUUCUGAAAGUCAUUGUGUUGGGAAUAUUCUGGGGCAGGAUGUACUUGCUACUUUGAGCCAGAUAUUGAGCAGACAAUGCCCCAUUGCUAUUGUCUUGGCAAUAUCUCACUAUCAUUACAGAAAAAAUAGAUUUAUUGGAUGGCUAGCAAUAUUUGCUACUGUUAAUAAUACUAUUAAUAUAUUUUUAUUAUUAACUAUUAGCUAUUGUUAUUUAUACCAUCUUAAUAAAAUCUUAAGGUGUGUAAGA
rnacentral:lncRNA from 1 species